UUCCCCUUCCUCCUCCCGCUGCGGGGAGGCGCCGCAAUGGGGGCGUGCCGGCGCCGGCGCCGGCAAGGAAUCUCGCCGCUUCGAACACCCUCGUCGCUUCUCCCCAGGUCAGUAGCCGCUCCGUGCAGUGCGGCGCAGCAUUUCCGAUUGGCCGAUCAGCGACGCAGAUUUCAGGGCAGCAUCAUCUGCAGGGGCGGCUCUCUGGCUCCUUCCUUCCCUCUAGCAUGUCGGACCAGGGAGGAGGCCAUUGAUCCGCGAGUUGUCAUAUCAAGGACUUUUAGCCGCGGGCUGUUCAUGCAGUUGGAAUUUCGUACUGCAGGUCUGGAUAGGUGAGCAGUGCUCUGUGACUCUGCGCGCUCAAUCAUUUCCUUCUUUUGUUUGAUGCUCGGCUAGUAAAAAAAAGAAGGAUACAAUCUGAGAGCUUCAACCACGUGCUGCUUUGUUUUCUGUUUUUAAUCCUUACCUGAUAAGCGCCUCGUGAAAUUGCAAAGUUUUUCAGGUAAUGAUGAAGUUUCAAGAAGAUCUGUAUUGUUUUCUUUUUCAAUUUCCUAGUUUGCUAGUGACUGCAGUACAUGUUUCAGCAUGUAGUUGCAUGCCUGCAGGUAAUUUCCCUCUUAAAACGGUGGCAAGCAUAAUGCAUGAGUAGCAGAUACUGUGAAAAUGGUAUUACAUAGUCCAUGCUGAUUUCAAGUCAGUCGUUUUUCUUUGCAGUGGAUGUUUCAAGGCAAUGUGAUGUUCAGCCGGUAAUUUUGGUGCAGUGAAAGUAAAUAAGAACCCAUCAUCUUUGCUGCUUGCUGUAUGACUGUAUAUUCUAACAUCACUUUAUUUCCUUCCUUUACCUCACAUUGUAA
rnacentral:lncRNA from 1 species